rnacentral:tRNA from 1 species
AUAAUAGCUCAGUUGGUAGAGCAUCGGCUUCCCAAGCCGAGGGUCGCGAGUUCGAGUCUCGUUUAU